rnacentral:rRNA from 1 species
CUACGGGCCGCUGCAGUGAGGAAUAUUGCACAAUGGGGGGAACCCUGAUGCAGCAACGCCGCGUGGAGGAUGACGCAUUUCGGUGUGUAAACUCCUUUUAUAUGUCAAGAAAAUGACGGCAGCAUAUGAAUAAGCACCGGCUAACUCCGUGCCAGCAGCCGCGGUAAUACAGAGGGUGCGAGCGUUACUCGGAAUCACUGGGCGUAAAGGACGCGUAGGCGGGUUGGAAAGUCAGGUGUGAAAUCCUACAGCUUAACUGUAGAACUGCACUUGAAACUUCUAAUCUAGAGUAUGGGAGGGGGAGAUGGAAUUAGUGGUGUAGGGGUAAAAUCCGUAGAUAUCACUAGGAAUAUCUAAAGCGAAGGCGAUCUCCUGGAACAUUACUGACGCUAAGGCGUGAAAGCGUGGGGAGCAAACAGGAUUAGAUACCCCCGUAGUC